rnacentral:tRNA from 1 species
ACGUCCUUGGUGAAGUGGUUAUCAUGCUUGCCUUCCAUCGUAAGACUCUAGCAAGCGGGCCGGGUUCGAUUCCCGGAGGGCGUA